AUUGAACGCUGGCGGCAGGCCUAACACAUGCAAGUCGAACGGUAACAGGAAGCAGCUUGCUGCUUUGCUGACGAGUGGCGGACGGGUGUGUAAUGUCUGGGAAACUGCCCGAUGGAGGGGGAUAACUACUGGAAACGGUAGCUAAUACCGCAUAACGUCGCAAGACCAAAGAGGGGGACCUUAGGGCCUCUUGCCAUCGGCUGUGCCCAGAUGGGAUUAGCUAGUAGGUGGGGUAACGGCUCACCUAGGCGACGAUCCCUAGCUGGUCUGAGAGGAUGACCAGCCACACUGGAACUGAGACACGGUCCAGACUCCUACGGGAGGCAGCAGUAGGGAAUAUUGCACAAUGGGCGCAAGCCUGAUGCAGCCAUGCCGCGUGUAUGAAGAAGGCCUUCGGGUUGUAAAAUACUUUCAGCGGGGGGGAAGAGAGUAAAGUUAAUACCUUUGCUCAUUGACGUUACCCGCAGAAGAAGCACCGGCUAACUCCGUG
rnacentral:rRNA from 1 species